AUUACAGAUGCUGUUUAAUCACUGAUUGAAUCUUUACCCACCAUCCUGAUAAAGUGGCAACAUGUGCAAACUCACUCUAACUGCAGGUCUCUGUUUGAUCAUCGCCAGCUUGGGAUAUCCUGGCCUCACAGAUACAGCUGCAGUGCCACCAAACCCCUGUGAUGGAAAGAGCAAUGGGCAAUACUC